AUUGAACGCUGGCGGCAGGCUUAACACAUGCAAGUCGAACGAGUGGCGGACGGGUGAGUAAUGUCUGGGAAACUGCCUGAUGGAGGGGGAUAACUACUGGAAACGGUAGCUAAUACCGCAUACCAUCAGAUGUGCCCAGAUGGGAUUAGCUAGUUGGUGGGGUAACGGCUCACCAAGGCGACGAUCCCUAGCUGGUCUGAGAGGAUGACCAGCCACACUGGAACUGGAACACGGGCCAGACUCCUACGUGAGGCAGCAGUGGGGAAUGUUGGACAAUGGGGGCAAGCCUGAGGCAGCCAUGCCGCGUGUAUGAAGAAGGCCUUCGGGUUGUAAAGUACUUUCGGCGGGGAGGCGUUACCCGCAGAAGAAGCACCGGCUAACUCCGUGCCAGCAGCCGCGGUAAUUC
rnacentral:rRNA from 1 species